rnacentral:rRNA from 1 species
AUUGAACGCUGGCGGCAGGCCUAACACAUGCAAGUCGAACGAGUGGCGGACGGGUGAGUAAUGUCUGGGAAACUGCCCGAUGGAGGGGGAUAACUACUGGAAACGGUAGCUAAUACCGCAUACCAUCGGAUGUGCCCAGAGGGGAUUAGCUUGUAGGUGGGGUAACGGCUCACCUAGGCGACGAUCCCUAGCUGGUCUGAGAGGAUGACCAGCCACACUGGAACGGAGACACGGUCCAUACUCCUACGGUAGGCAGGAGGGGGGAAGAGGGCACAAUGGGGGCGAGCCUGAUGCAGCCAUGCCGCGUGUAUGAAGAAGGCCUUGGGGUUGUAAAGUACGUGCAGCGGCGAGGCGUUACCCGCAGCAGACGCACCGGCUAACUCCGUGACAGCAGCCGCGGUAAUAC